rnacentral:rRNA from 1 species
CCGACGGUGAGGGGCGAAAGCUGGGGGCACGAACCGGAUUAGAUACCCGGGUAGUCCCAGCCGUAAACGAUGCUCGCUAGGUGUCUGGGAUGGUGCGACCGUUCCAGGUGCCGCAGGGAAGCCGUGAAGCGAGCCACCUGGGAAGUACGGCCGCAAGGCUGAAACUUAAAGGAAUUGGCGGGGGAGCACUACAACGGGUGGAGCCUGCGGUUUAAUUGGACUCAACGCCGGAAAUCUCACCGGAUAA